AUGUCGACGGCGGCUGCAUCCCGGCCCAGCGGCCCUGUGCUUCUGAGCCCCUUUCCCAACUACCAAUCCGCCUCGCUCUCCCGUGUCAAGCUCUCGGUCGCCGGCUCGCCGGCCAAGUCCUUCAGCGUCUCGUCUCCCCCCUCCUCCCCCACCGCAGCCCCCAAGAUCCGUCGGUCCUGCAUGUGCUCCCCGACGAACCACCCCGGCUUGUUCCGCUGCAGCCUCCACAAGGAGCGAAAGCAGGAGGCCCCGGCCGCCGGCAGCUGCAGCAAGCACACGGCCAGUACGUGCGCGCAGCUCGUCCCAAGCGGCAGCGGCAGCGGCUGCUCUAAACGCUCGUACAGCGGACUGGCGCAGCGCAUCCCCAUGGGGAGCGGGCACUGGGCACGCAAGGCGCUCGUGCCAUCCCACGCGGUGCAGCAGCUGCAGCACCGGAAGCGAGUGGUGGAGCGGUUCCACGCCGGGGCUAGCCGGCUCUCCGUCGCCUCCAUGGCCGGCCGCAGCAACCAGUAA
rnacentral:rRNA from 1 species